AGAAUCAACGCUGGCGGCGUGCCUAACACAUGCAAGUCGAACGAGAAAGGGUAGCAAUACCUGAGUACAGUGGCGCACGGGUGAGUAACACGUGACUAACCUACCCUGGAGUGGGGAAUAACUGAGGGAAACCUUAGCUAAUACCGCAUAAUACCUACGGGUCAAAGGAGCAAUUCGCUUCAGGAGGGGGUCGCGGCCGAUUAGUUAGUUGGCGGGGUAAUGGCCCACCAAGACAGUGAUCGGUAUCCGGCCUGAGAGGGCGCACGGACACACUGGAACUGAAACACGGUCCAGACUCCUACGGGAGGCAGCAGUGGGGAAUUUGCGCAAUGGGGGAAACCCUGACGCAGCAACGCCGCGUGGAGGAUGAAAUCCCUUGGGAUGUAAACUCCUUUCGAUCGGGACGAUUAUGACGGUACCGGAAGAAGAAGCCCGGCUAACUUCGUGCCAGCAGCCGC
rnacentral:rRNA from 1 species